rnacentral:tRNA from 1 species
UCGGGUAUGGUGUAACGGCUAACAUUGCCGCCUCUCAUACAAGAUCGCGGCAGCUCGGGGUUCGAUUCCCCGUACCCGAA